GGCAAGAACAUGCUCACCAGAAGCCUUGGAGGAAACUUCUGAGGUCACUCCUCAGGGACAGUAGGAAGAGGAGCAGAAGGGGACACAGGGCAGGCACGGAUUGAACGGCUGCCCCAUUCGGUCCCCCACAAUGAUGAAGCCCGUGGAAGGGAGAGUGGAUUGAAAAGGAAAGAGGCUCAGCGGGGCACCUCAGCAGACCACAGGCGAGCCUGCUCAACAGUUCCCCACUCCGGAGAGGAGAGCAGAGUGAGAUUGACAGGGCAGUCUGCUCUCUCAGAGUGGGAGGCUUCUGUCUCCCUUGGUGUGCCUGGGCUGCAACUGCUGGGGAUGAAACAUCUGGAACUACUGGUGCUCUAGCCACUCGGGGGCCGUGCCUUACACCUCGGAAAGGCCAGAACAUUCUGUAUGAGACUGGCUGAGCUGCAGGAAUGCGAGGUGGGGGAGUCACACCAGGCUGCGGAGGCUGUGGGAGC